CCAGGGGGUUAGGGGGAGGAGCUGAAACAGGGCCCAGGGGUUAGGGGGGGUUAGGAGCUGAAACAGGGCCCAGCCAACCAGACAUUAUCAAUAUGUAGACAGAGUGUUUAACAGUCAAAAGGAUACAGUCUUACUGUCACAAGGCCAAAGACCCAGAAAGAGAUUCACCAUAGAGGGAGGAGACAUUUCUCCCUAACCACCGAUCAUCAUUUAACAGUGAAGACCCUGCUCCACAGGCCAGGUUGAUACUGUCCGUCGGUCUGGUCCGUCUGCUCUUCCUCAAGAGGAGGAAGUGGAGGACCUACGUAUUCUAUCUGGGAGGGAGGGAGAUUCCUAACCAGUGUUACAAAAGUAACACGUUACGUAAUCAGAUUACUUUUAUGAGUAACAGAGUAAAGUAACACAUUACUUUUUCAAAUUGGGUUCUAUUAUUACAGUUACUUCGACAACACAUGCGUUACUUUCAGAAUCAUCUCUCUACCAACAACCUGUCCUGUGUCUGUCUGUCUGUCCAGGUACAGAGAGCAUUAUGUCAACAACCUGUCCUGUGUCUGUCUGUCUGUCCAGGUACAGAGAGCAUUAUGUCAACAACCUGUCCUGUGUCUGUCUGUCCAGGUACAGAGAGCAUUAUGUCAACAACCUGUCCUGUGUCUGUCUAGGUACAGAGAGCAUUAUGUCAACAACCUGUCCUGUGUCUGUCCGUCUAGGUACAGAGAGCAUUAUGUCAUUGCAUAAAUAAGUUGUUCUCAUUAAUGCGGGGUCUUUCUUGGUAGAGUGAUAUCACCUAUGAGUUCCCUGAUCAUAGCUCGGCUUCAGAUAGUUAGAAAAGAAAAAGAAGCUGUACAAAAAUUAUUUGGCAAUGUAAA
ensembl:lncRNA